ACUCCUACGGGAGGCAGCAGUGAGGAAUAUUGGACAAUGGGCGGGAGCCUGAUCCAGCCAUGCCGCGUGCAGGAAGACUGCCCUAUGGGUUGUAAACUGCUUUUAUACGGGAAGAAACACUCCCUCGUGAGGGAAUUUGACGGUACCGUAAGAAUAAGGAUCGGCUAACUCCGUGCCAGCAGCCGCGGUAAUACGGAGGAUCCAAGCGUUAUCCGGAAUCAUUGGGUUUAAAGGGUCCGUAGGUGGACGAUUAAGUCAGAGGUGAAAUCUUGCAGCUCAACUGUAAAAAUUGCCUUUGAUACUGGUUGUCUUGAGUUAUUAUGAAGUGGUUAGAAUAUGUAGUGUAGCGGUGAAAUGCAUAGAUAUUACAUAGAAUACCAAUUGCGAAGGCAGAUCACUAAUAAUAUACUGACACUGAUGGACGAAAGCGUGGGUAGCGAACAGGAUUAGAUACCCUGGUAGGAUAGCGU
rnacentral:rRNA from 1 species